CCUACGGGAGGCAGCAGUAGGGAAUUUUCCACAAUGGACGAAAGUCUGAUGGAGCAACGCCGCGUGAACGAUGAAGGUCUUCGGAUUGUGAAGUUCUGUUGUUAGGGACGAACAAGUACCGUUCGAAUAGGGCGGUACCUUGACGGUACCUGACGAGAAAGCCACGGCUAACUACGUGCCAGCAGCCGCGG
rnacentral:rRNA from 1 species